CGAAGGGGAAGCUGCUGUGUACAAAUACUGAGCAAUAUCCUCCCACCACCAAGACAUGCAAAUAAACCACCACCCCCAAGACAUGCAAAUAAACCCCCACCCCUAAGACAUGCAAAUAAACCCCUACCCCCAAGACAUGCAAAUAAACCCCCACCACCAAGACAUGCAAAUAAACCCCCACCACCAAGACAUGCAAAUAAACCCCCACCCCCAAGACAUGCAAAUAAACCCCCACCACCAAGACAUGCAAAUAAACCCCCACCACCAAGACAUGCAAAUAAACCCCCACCACCAAGACAUGCAAAUAAACCCCCACCCCCAAGACAUGCAAAUAAACCCCCACCACCAAGACAUGCAAAUAAACCCCCACCCCCAAGACAUGCAAAUAAACCCCCACCACCAAGACAUGCAAAUAAACCCCCACCCCCAAGACAUGCAAAUAAACCACCACCCCUAAGACAUGCAAAUAAACCCCCACCCCCAAGACAUGCAAAUAAACCCCCACCACCAAGACAUGCAAAUAAACCCCUACCCCCAAGACAUGCAAAUAAACCACCACCCCCAAGACAUGCAAAUAAACCCCCACCACCAAGACAUGCAAAUAAACCCCCACCACCAAGACAUGCAAAUAAACCCCCACCCCCAAGACAUGCAAAUAAACCCCCACCACCAAGACAUGCAAAUAAACCCUGUCACCAAGACAUGCAAAUAAACCCCCACCCCCAAGACAUGCAAAUAAACCCCCACCACAAAGACAUGCUUAAUGCAUGGUGCCAUGAUUCCUUGCUAUUUUCCUUGAAAAGAUAGGCAGUAUAUUUGCGACAAAAGCUUGACAGAUCUGACCUAAGUGACAUCCGUCAGCUCCUCUCCCGAUAGUAGAGGUCAGCUCCUCUCCCGAUAGUAGAGGUCAGCUACCAGGUUAUUAUCUUCUCCUCCCUUCUCUUUCUACCACCAGAUUUGAUAGAGGAAACUGGAGGAGAUGAAAUUAGAAAGCUGCUUCCUCCUCUCCAUGUUGGACACACACACACACACACACACACACACACACACACACACACACACACACACACACACACACACACACACACACACACACACACACACACACACACACACACACACACACACACACACACAGACACACACACAGACACACACACACACACACACACACACAUGCUGGAUAGAUGCUGGCUACCACGUCUUCCUGGAAAAUUAAUUAACUUGAAUAUUCCAUGGGCGGUGACGAAGGAAAAUGUUCAUCUCAGGUCAUUUCAAGAACACUAAUUUGGCUCCCUGCUCUCUUGUACAUAAGUCAAUAGCCUUUAACAGUGCCAGUGAGCUGCUCAUAGGCCUGGGCAUAUCUGAGGACCAAACCAAUGUACAUCACAAGACUACCAGCUAACAGAAACAUGAAAGAAAAUGGAUUCUUCAUUCUAAACCAGUGACAUUUCAACCAGUAGAACAGUUGAAUAAAAACCACCUACUGUAAGAAAAUGGAUUCUUGAUUCUAAACCCGUGACAUUUCAGCCAGAGGAACAAUUGAAUAUAAGAAUCUACUGUAAGAAAAUUGAUUAUUGAGCCAUGCUUGGGGCUCCAGGAAAAUGCAGGUGCUAUGCCAGGUUAAUGUAGUAGUGGUGGACUAUUUUGCUGAUGCUACACAUUUGGGGCGGCAGGGUAGCCUAGUGGUUAGAGCAUUGGACUAGUAACUGGAAGGUUGCCAGUUCAAAUCCCCGAGCUGACAAGGUCUGUCGUUCUGCCCCUGAACAGGCCGCCAUUGAAAAUAAGAAUUUGUUCUUAACUGACUUGCCGUGUUAAAUAAAUACAAUUU
ensembl:lncRNA